rnacentral:tRNA from 1 species
GCUCUGGUAGCUUAAGCUCAAAGCACUGGUCUUGUAAAUCAGAGAUAGGAACACUCCUCCAGAACA